CAGGCCUAACACAUGCAAGUCGAGCGAAUUUGAAGGGAGCUUGCUCCCGGAAAAUUAGCGGCGGACGGGUGAGUAACACGUGGGCAACCUGCCCGUAAGAUUGGGAUAACUCCGGGAAACCGGUGCUAAUACCGAAUAGGUUCUCUUUUCACAUGAAGAGAGAAGGAAAGUUGGCUUUUAGCUAACACUUACGGAUGGGCCCGCGGCGCAUUAGCUAGUUGGUGAGGUAACGGCUCACCAAGGCGACGAUGCGUAGCCGACCUGAGAGGGUGAUCGGCCACACUGGGACUGAGACACGGCCCAGACUCCUACGGGAGGCAGCAGUAGGGAAUCUUCCGCAAUGGACGAAAGUCUGACGGAGCAACGCCGCGUGAGCGAAGAAGGCCUUCGGGUCGUAAAGCUCUGUUGUCAGGGAAGAACAAGUACCGUUCGAAUAGGGCGGUACCUUGACGGUACCUGACCAGAAAGCCACGGCUAACUACGUGCCAGCAGCCGCGGUAAU
rnacentral:rRNA from 1 species